rnacentral:tRNA from 1 species
AAAAUGCUAGGUUAAGAUAAACCGUAGGUCUUCAAAACCUAAAAUGGAAGUAUUUUUCGUAUUUUG